CGAUCCAUCGACAAUGCUGAUCGGCAACAGUCACCAUUCUUCCAUUACGAAUCCCCAUCCCCGCGGGGAAUAUUGAACCAAUUGUAAAGCACACAAACAUGCGAACUCGAUUUGUAUGGAUGGUUACGAUGAUGAUUCACCAUCCGCCGCGCCGGGCUAAGUAGAUUUACCGAUAAACUGCGCCUUUUGCCUUAUCUAAGAUACGUGCAGCACAUCGGACUGCUUGUGCGGACUCGGUUGGCUGGCGGACGACGGACGACAGCAGGUAAUGUUGGCGGUGAGGCGCGUCAGAGUCAAUCGCAUUUGGCGCACACUUCAUCAGUCUCAAACAGGUUGGAAGAGUACAGGUGCGAUAUAUUCUACCUGGGUUUGUAGCGCACUGAGAAUGUGACAAGAUCCCGUCAGGGCAUUUGGUGACAGUGUUUGAACGGUUCGCAGGCGGUGCUGGAUAUUUGGCCCUCCGGAUUUGGAGAUCAUCGGAAUCGCGGUGAUAUAGGAAACUACACGACUACUCAACUCCAGGAUACUACGAGAGCCAAUCGAUCAAGAUGGGAUGUUGCUGCAGCAGUUCCGACUCGCAGGAUAUUACUACGCCGGUGCCGGACCGACCGGGACUACCGGAGGAGGCCCCAUCCGGAGUGCCGUACGGGCUGAACGACGGAGGUGAUCAGGGAGGCGCCACCGGCUACAACGUGAACGGAUGACAACCAAGAUGACAAUGGCGGGGAGUCUGCCGGUGGACCACGCUGAUGCUGGUGCUGCUCCUGUCGUGCGGAUAUCUACCGGCGGCGUUGGUGGACAUCGGUAUCCGCGUUUCAGUGGGGGAGGGAUCGGGCACAAAAAAUAUCAUUUAUUUUUACAAUAAACACUACCGAUAUGCUAGGAAACGUGA